GUGAGCCAACCCCCUUCUUCCCCAAUCAUUCGUGAAUCGUCCUAAUCCUGGAGAACUCUCAAGCCAAGGGAAACUCUAGCCCUUCAUCGCCGCCGCCGUUCCCAGGUCCACAGCGCCACCACCGUCCCCAGGUCGUCAGCGCCGCUGCUUCUUCCUCUCCCCCGUGUCCGAAACCUAGUAGCGCGGCACGUCGUCUUCAUCUUCGCAUGCUUUCCGGCACGGAGCCCAGUGGCACAAGAAGAGUAUGCGAACAAUGGAAAUGCUACUGGGGAUUUAAAUUCCGAUGAUAGAGGUAUUGAGCGAUGAAGUAUUUUCAAAACAAUUCUGAUGACAACAAUCAUCUCACACACAGUGGCAAUGAUCCACAUGCCAAGAAAAAGGCACAUGUCAUACAAGAACAGAACAAUGCAAAGUAUAGGAACAGAUAUUUUAUCUAUUGUUUAUAAUUUAUUUAUUUUAUUAUUCUAAAACGGUUUUUUCGGUUGAACCACCGGUUAGACCGAUUAGACCAAUAAACCAGUUACUAGAAUAGUUUGAUGACUGAUUCGGUUUUCAAAACCUUGGGUGUAACUAUGAUUAAAUGACUUUUGUUAUGACAAAGGAAGAGAAUAUAGUUUGUGAGCUAAUCAUGAUUAGUUCUUCCUCCUCUCAA